rnacentral:sRNA from 1 species
ACGAUGAAGCGGGCCCCGUUUCAGGUCGCGGUGCUUUGCAGAGUUCUCCGGGGGUUGCGCAUCAACCACAACCUGAAUAGGCUGAUGGCCGAAAGAAAAUGCG